AUUGAACGCUGGCGGCAUGCUUUACACAUGCAAGUCGAACGGCAGCGCGGGCUUCGGCCUGGCGGCGAGUGGCGAACGGGUGAGUAAUGCAUCGGAACGUGCCCAGUAGUGGGGGAUAGCCCGGCGAAAGCCGGAUUAAUACCGCAUACGACCUGAGGGUGAAAGCGGGGGACCGAAAGGCCUCGCGCUAUUGGAGCGGUCGAUGUCGGAUUAGCUAGUUGGUGGGGUAAAGGCUUACCAAGGCGACGAUCCGUAGCUGGUCUGAGAGGACGACCAGCCACACGGGGACUGAGACACGGCCCAGACUCCUACGGGAGGCAGCAGUGGGGAAUUUUGGACAAUGGGGGCAACCCUGGUCCAGCCAUGCCGCGUGCGGGAAGAAGGCCUUCGGGUUGUAAACCGCUUUUGUUCGGGAAGAAAUCCUCUGGGCUAAUACCCCGGGGGGAUGACGGUACCGGAAGAAUAAGCACCGGCUAACUACGUG
rnacentral:rRNA from 1 species